rnacentral:rRNA from 1 species
UACAGAGGUCUCAAGCGUUGUUCGGAUUCAUUGGGCGUAAAGGGUGCGUAGGCGGCGCGGUAAGUCGGGUGUGAAAUUUCGAGGCUUAACUUCGAAACUGCAUUCGAUACUGCCGGUCUUGAGGGAGGCAGGGGAGCGCGGAACUUCCGGUGGAGCGGUGAAAUGCGUAGAUAUCGGAAGGAACACCGGUGGCGAAAGCGGCGCUCUGGUCCUCUUCUGACGCUGAGGCGCGAAAGCCAGGGGAGCAAACGGG